rnacentral:rRNA from 1 species
AACGAACGCUGGCUGCAGGCUUAACACAUGCAAGUCGAACGCAUCCUUCGGGGUGAGUGGCAGACGGGUGAGUAACGCGUGGGAACGUGCCCUUCAGUUCGGGAUAACCCAGGGAAACUUGGGCUAAUACCGGAUACGUGCGAGAGCAGAAAGAUUUAUCGCUGAAGGAACGGCCCGCGUCUGAUUAGCUAGUUGGUGGGGUAAUGGCCCACCAAGGCGACGAUCAGUAGCUGGUCUGAGAGGAUGAUCAGCCACAUUGGGACUGGGACACGGCCCAAACUCCUACGGGAGGCAGCAGUGGGAAUAUUGGACAAUGGGCGCAAGCCUGAUCCAGCCAUGCCGCGUGAGUGAUGAAGGCCUUAGGGUUGUAAAGCUCUUUCGUCCGGGACGAUAAUGACGGUACCGGAAGAAGAAGCCCCGGCUAACUUCGUGCCAGCCGCCGCAGUAA